rnacentral:hammerhead_ribozyme from 1 species
AUCCAGCUGACGCGUCCCAAAUAAGACGGAAUGCGCAUUCUGGAU